AAUUUUUGACAAUGGGGGAAACCCUGAUACAGCCAUCCCGCGUGUAUGAUGAAGGNCUNNGGGUUNUNAAGUACUUUUGGCUGNNNNNAAAAGGCAUCCACUAAUACGGGAUGAUGCUGACGGUAUCUGCAGAAUAAGCACCGGCUAACUACGUGCCAGCAGCCGCGGUAAUACGUAGGGUGCAAGCGUUAAUCGGAAUUACUGGGCGUAAAGCGUGGGGAGGCGGUGCGGAAAGAAAGAUGGGGAAACCCAGGGCUCAACCUUGGAACUGCAUUUUUAACUGCCGAGCUAGAGUAUGUCAGAGGGGGGUAGAAUUCCACGUGUAGCAGUGAAAUGCGUAGAUAUGUGGAGGAAUACCGAUGGCGAAGGCAGCCCCCUGGGAUAAUACUGACGCUCAGACACGAAAGCGUGGGGAGCAAACAGG
rnacentral:rRNA from 1 species